GACGAACGCUGGCGGCGUGCUUAACACAUGCAAGUCGAACGGAAAGGCCCUGCUUGCAGGGUACUCGAGUGGCGAACGGGUGAGUAACACGUGGGUGAUCUGCCCUGCACUUCGGGAUAAGCCUGGGAAACUGGGUCUAAUACCGGAUAGGAGCCAUUUUUAGUGUGAUGGUUGGAAAGUUUUUUCGGUGUAGGAUGAGCUCGCGGCCUAUCAGCUUGUUGGUGGGGUAAUGGCCUACCAAGGCGGCGACGGGUAGCCGGCCUGAGAGGGUGGACGGCCACAGUGGGACUGAGAUACGGCCCAGACUCCUACGGGAGGCAGAAGUGGGGAAUAUUGCACAAUGGGCGCAAGCCUGAUGCAGCGACGCCGCGUGGGGGAUGACGGCCUUCGGGUUGUAAACUCCUUUCGCUAGGGACGAAGCUUUUUGUGACGGUACCUAGAUAAGAAGCACCGGCUAACUACGUG
rnacentral:rRNA from 1 species